UCCCUGGUGGUCUAAUGGUUAGGAGUCGGCACUCUCACCGCCGCGGCUGGGGUUUGAUUCCCAGUCAUGUAA
rnacentral:tRNA from 1 species